AGCGAACGCUGGCGGCAGGCUUAACACAUGCAAGUCGAGCGGGCGUAGCAAUACGUCAGCGGCAGACGGGUGAGUAACGCGUGGGAACAUACCUCUUGGUUCGGAACAACACAGGGAAACUUGUGCUAAUACCGGAUAAGCCCUUACGGGGAAAGAUUUAUCGCCGAGAGAUUGGCCCGCGUCUGAUUAGCUAGUUGGUGAGGUAACGGCUCACCAAGGCGACGAUCAGUAGCUGGUCUGAGAGGAUGAUCAGCCACAUUGGGACUGAGACACGGCCCAAACUCCUACGGGAGGCAGCAGUGGGGAAUAUUGGACAAUGGGCGCAAGCCUGAUCCAGCCAUGCCGCGUGAGUGAUGAAGGCCCUAGGGUUGUAAAGCUCUUUUGUGCGGGAAGAUAAUGACGGUACCGCAAGAAUAA
rnacentral:rRNA from 1 species